ensembl:lncRNA
AUGUCCCGGGGGGCGUUGGGGAGAAAAAGGAAAAAAAUAAAAUCUUUAAAAAAAAAAAAAAAGUGAACCAUAAAAAUUUUAAAAGAAAAUUUAAGUGAAUGGGAAGGCCAUCAACAGCAGAAGCCACACAUUUUUAAAAAGAUGACACAAAAAUGAACGCAUUUCAAAAAUACUGUAAACAACAAUGAAAGUCCAACAAAAAACUCGAGGAUAAUUGCAACUUUCAUAGCAGGGAAAGGAUCAAUAUCUUUAGUACACACAGAAAUUUUAUAAAUAUUCCUGUGGACAAAUUCUCAACAGUAAACCGCGCAGAGGACGUGAACAAGUGUGUCACAGAAGAAAGGUUACAAGUGACAAUGGAAACGUUCCAUUCCACUAGUCGUCAUGAAAAUGCACAUUGAAAGCAACAGCAAAAGACCGAUUCUUUCCAGCUGUGAGGACAGGCAAUGGAGGAAAUGGCCGUGCUGCAGGAACUGGGGGAUGGAGAAAAUCUAUGAGGGAACCAGCAACUUCUAAAAUUUUCCUGAAGGUGAGAAGUAUGGGGGAGAGAGACAGAUCACGACAGUGAAGAAAAUAAAUGACAAUCACUGCAGAAAUGUCAGUCCUGGAAAACUUCUCUCCCCGUCUGGCAGCACAGGAGUCUGCUGGACGUUUCUGGACCCAGCACGGCAAUAUGGAAUGACUGCUGAAAGAGCGAUUUCAAAAGCACAGCUUUGCAGAAGAGUCCCUCUCACUUCUGUUGCACCUGCAUAACCAGCCUGAAGAUUAGAAGCAAAUCUUGUUCUCUGUGGCUUCUCAUCACUUGACAAGAAUGUCGGAUCCUCACUGACUUAAAUCCAAGAGCGCUCCAGGGCAGGGCGCUCCUUCCCCUGGGCAGCUCUCAAGGUCUUAGACGCUGCUUGAUGAAUUGGUAGAACAUUUUUGCAACUUUUGCAAUCUGGUAUUGAUUUACUAUCUUCAUCUCAAAGUCUGCCAAAUUAUUAUUUUAUUGGGGAGGAAAAUAGGGAUACCACAAAGUGACACAUAUUCCUGAGAAACCUUGGCAGGCGGCCCCUUUCCAACCAGGAGACUGCAGUGGCCUCCAUCUGUCUCUCCCAGAGGGACAACAUGUACCAGGGGUUCCUUGCAGGGAUAUUUCAAGAUAAAAGAAAUGAUUGUUCUUUCUUUAUGUUCAUUGAAAAAAAAAAUCUGAUAUUCAGUUUCCCUAGUGUCCUAGGUCCGAGGAUCUGUGGGGUUUUCCUGCCACCUAUUCUGCAAUGGUGAAUGACAAGCGUUCAUCUUGACAUACUGUGUCAUAACUAUCUGGUUGGUUUGGUGACUCGUGGCAACAAGCCAGGAUUCUGAGCAUAAGGUUGCGAUAAGUAAACAGCAAGCCUCCGUGUCUGCGGCUUUCAAAGAACGAGGAGAACUGAAGCUCCAAGUUACAAGUGGAAAUCUGGAUAUGCAGAUAAUACCACCCACACAGGGAGCAGCACCCUACCUGGCUUGCUGUCCCAGCCCCAGAACAGAUGGAUUCUGUUUCGGUUCCCAGCCAAUGGGAUGGCAGGCUUUCACUUUGAGUCACUGAAGACUGCGCCCACCUCACAAGUCUGCGGGCGGCCCUGGACUUGGCUUAGGCUGGGUCUACUGCCCGUGUGAGAACAGCACCACAUCUUCAAUUACAAGUUUGUGGAACAAUUUGCUCUGGGAAUAAAGAAGGAUGAUUUCCCUGCAGUUGGAGACGGACAGCGUCAGCAAAGAGUGCUGGAGUCCCAGAAACGGCUGGGAACUGGGAUGGCUUGUCUUGGGGAAGCUUCUCUCACUGCCCUCCUGCAGCCCAGCAUCCUGAGGACCCUGCUUGCCGUCCCAGGGAGGCUGUUUCUCAGAGCAUGGGAAAAGGAUUUCCUCGCUCAGGAGGGGAGCUUCUUCCCCAGUUCAUACAAUAGAAGUGUCAAUGAGGAAGAUUUAUCAUUUUCUCUCUGUUGGACGAACCGUGACCCUACAUGAUGAUCACUUCACAAAGAGAUCAAGUUAAACACUGCAUACUAUGUGUCCUUCACCGCUCAGAGCAUGGAAAAUGUGUGGCUUGGUAUAUAAAUUAAGGUAACCCUAAGUGCUGUUAAUGACUCUAAAAUUUCUGAGGCUUGACACAAGAGAAGUUUAUUUCUUGCCCAGGCACAGUCUAAUUGGCUAUGGGAAUAGGACUACUCUGCUCCACACAGUUAUUCAGGUACCUAGGCUGAGAGAGGUUCUGCUGUGUUCAACAUGUAACUUCCCAAGUCAUCCUGGAUGUCGCCAUCCCACUGGAAGGUGGAGGAAGAGGGAGAAUGGUCAUACAGAACUACCUACCUAUCCCUGAUGUGGUGGAAAAUGCAUUGAUCUUGAAGACACGAAAGAUGCCCGCCAGCUCUGGGCCCAUGGCAAAUCAGUCCUCUGAACAUUACGUGCCUCCUCAGCCAAAUAGAGGAGCUGGAGCAGCUUCAGGAGUCUGCGAGUUCACAUACAGCGUCUAAGGACACGAGAGGACAGCAGUCGGACCAGGAAGGGACCCUCUCGUGACCACCACAUUCUCAUCACAAAAGAUUUUGAUCAUCAGUCAGACCUGGGAGAAUGGUGACCUUGAUCCUCACGAUCUACUGUGUGAGAAAGGCUAUGGAAACCUCUGUGAUAUUCAGCAAUGCUCAUGCCAGGAUACUCAAAGAUGAGUGACACAGAUGGUUCACUUGGGGGGAGACAGACAGGUAGACAGAAUUCAAAGUCAACACGAUAGGAGUUACGAAGGUGUUAUGCAUAGAAACUAACCUGGAGGGGGUCCAAGAAGGCUCCCUAGAGAAUGGGGCUUUCUCUAGGAGGCUGAAUCAUGAAGGCAUUAGUUGAGUGAGGUGUGCUUUCAGAGAAGAAGAAAGAAUGGCAGGGGGAGGUGUUCUAGGAAAAGAGCACAGCAUGAGGAAAGCUUGGAGCAUUGAAGAGCACAGUGUAUUUGAAGAGCUAGGGGAAUUUGGUGUUGCCAAAGGAUAAAGCGAGCGGAGAGGAGUUGGUGAAGUAGACAAGGGCCAUAAAGAGCCUCAUAACUCAUGUUAGGAAUCCAUCUUGUAUUCCACAGGCAAUGGAAGUCACCGAAUGGAUUUUUUUUCAGGAGUAACACGCCUGGAAUACAGCCACCUCUGUUCUACUACUGACCAAACUUGAGCCAUCUUUCUGGGCCCAGGUGAAAUUCACCUAUCUAUCACUCAGAGAAUAGUCAGUGUGCACCAUCCACAUACGCUGUGCUGGGCAGUAGGUACACGGAUGACUCAGGCCUGGUCCUGGCCCUCAGAGAGCUGGCUGUCCACUGGAAAAGGAGACAACACCACACGAGUAAGUCCCUCUAUGUCUCUUGAAGGCACAUGAGGUCCAUUCUGCUCUUUACUGUUUCUCGUGGCGGCUUGCUCAGGCUACACACAGAGCCAAGCCUCCACACACAGCAGAUCAACCGGCAGAUUAUUGAUUCAAUUUGCAGAAGAGAAACUCCACAGCAGACCUUGGUGGGUGAAAUCUGAUGUCUCUCUGGGCCACCAAAAUUCCCUUAGACAAUGUGAGUGGUGACAGCCGGUAAUGCAAUCCAGUCCCUAAAACAUGGCUUUCCCUUGCUUGGCUAUGGAAGGCCUGCUCCUGCUGUGCUCAGACCCCAAAAGAGGCAGAAUCUUCUCUGAAGCUCUGACGUAGUGGCAAUUUUCUGCUUUUGCAGAGUGGACUUGACUUUAGUAACAGCCAUGAGGAAUUCCCCUCACGGCAGUGAAGACUCUGCUCAGACACAUGAGGCACGACUUAGCAGCAGUGCAGGAAGCAGUGAGCUGGGAGCUGGAAAGAGCUGUCUUCAGGCUCUGGAUCUGCCCUUAACUAACUGCUUUGACUGGGCACCCGCUGCCUGCGUCAGUGCCCAAAUCACGAAAGAAGGGGGCGAGAAAGUGGGUUGGUUACAUUUUGUAGCCAUACCUCAGACAUGGGAGAAGAACAGGAGAAGAUAGCAGGAAGAGAUGGAGAGGGUAUGAGGUGGAAGGUCAGGACAAGCGCAAGGACAUCACGCAAGGCUGGUUCUGUCUUCUGGCUGGACAAUGGCUUGCUAUUACAGUGUCUUGCUUUACGCAAUGAAUGUAUU